UGUAGCUGGCGGUGUGCCUGC
rnacentral:misc_RNA from 1 species